rnacentral:ncRNA from 2 species
CUGACGAAACAGGGGUGCUUUGCUGCCCGCCGGAGCCGGAAACGGACCUCGGGCGAUGCGGCGGCAAGGCUGAGAGAGACCCUUCGCACCCGAUCCGGGUAAUACCGGCGCGGGAAGUUUCCGAUACCACCGG